GAUCUCAUACAAGAUAAACUCGGUGGAGGUCCAUCUCCACAAAAUGUUUAAAUAAUAAUGAAGAUCCUGUGUCCAUUUUUUACGCUUCUUACCUUCCCCAUUUGUGUGUUUAUAUAUCCACUCCAGGUCCUAGCAUAGAUAGAUGUGAGCCUUUCUUGUACCAUUUUUCCUUGUUUGGGAGAGAAAAACAGAGAUCAAGAAGAAGAAGAAGAGAGAAUGGAUGCACCAACAUACCAAGAGAUGUCAUAUUUUGAACAUAUCCAGAAACGCCACGAGGAAAAAGGAUGUCUUUUUGCGUGUUUGUUCGCGAUGUGUUGCUGUUUCUGCUGCUUCGAGACAUGCGAAUGUUGCCUUGAUAUUCUCUGCUGUUCCUGUCCUUGAGUAAACAGAUUAUCAUCAUUAGAAAUGGGGUUUGGGAAGAAUAUUGGGAAAGAAAAAAAAGAGCAAGUUGUAUAACUUAUUUCACAAUUGAAAAGUUGUGAUUGAUGAAUACGAAAAAAUAAUAGUGGUUGGUGACCUUGUAUUUU